AGCAGCCGCGGUAAUUCCAGCUCCAAUAGCGUAUAUUAAAGUUGUUGCAGUUAAAAAGCUCGUAGUUGAAUUUCGGGAUCAAUUAAUUGGUCGUGCCUCUGGUACGUACUGAUUUUAUUGGUUUCUCCCUUCUAACGAACCAUGAUGUCAUUAAUUUGGUGUCGUGGAGAAUCAGGACUGUUACUUUGAAAAAUUAGAGUGUUUAAAGCAAGCUAACGCUUGAAUACAUUAGCAUGGAAUAAUGAAAUAGGACGUUUGAUCCUAUUUUGUUGGUUUCUAGGAUCGACGUAAUGAUUAAUAGGGAUAGUUGGGGGCAUUAGUAUUCAAUUGUCAGAGGUGAAAUUCUUGGAUUUAUUGAAGACUAACUACUGCGAAAGCAUUUGCCAAGGAUGUUUUCAUUAAUCAAGAACGAAAGUUAGGGGAUCGAAGACGAUCAGAUACCGUCGUAGUCUUAACCAUAAACUAUGCCGACUAGGGAUCGGAUGAUGUUAAUUUUUAAUGACUCAUUCGGCGCCUUAAC
rnacentral:misc_RNA from 1 species